AACGCACAUUGCGCCCUUUGGCACUCCGAAGGGCACGCCUGUUCGAGCGUCAUUUCACCCAUCAAGCCUGGCUUGGUAUUGGGCGCCGCGGCGCCCGCGCGCCCCAAAGUUUCGUCGGCUCGACCGUCCGCUCCAUAGCGUCGUGGCAUUUUGUUUCGCUGACGGGGUGAGGGCGGCCGACGCCGUUAAACGUUUCCAUUGAGGUUGACCUCGGAUCAGGUGGGGAUACCCGCUGAACUUAA
rnacentral:misc_RNA from 1 species